rnacentral:rRNA from 1 species
UACAGAGGUCUCAAGCGUUGUUCGGAUUCAUUGGGCGUAAAGGGUGCGUAGGUGGUGAUGCAAGUCUGGUGUGAAAUCUCGGAGCUCAACUCCGAAAUUGCACCGGAUACUGCGUGACUCGAGGACUGUAGAGGAGAUUGGAAUUCACGGUGUAGCAGUGAAAUGCGUAGAUAUCGUGAGGAAGACCAGUUGCGAAGGCGGAUCUCUGGGCAGUUCCUGACACUGAGGCACGAAGGCCAGGGGAGCAAACGGG